CAGUAGCGUAUAUUAAAGUUGUUGCAGUUAAAAAGCUCGUAGUUGGAUUUCUGGAUUGACGCCCCUGGCCCGCCUUAUUGGUGUGUGCCGGUCGUGGCGUCAUCCAUCCUUCCAAGGAUUGUGUUUUUCCUUUAUUGGUUUAGCAUUAAGACUUGGAUCUUUUACUUUGAAAAAUUAGAGUGUUUAAAGCAGGCAUUUGCUGGAAUACAUUAGCAUGGAAUAAUAACAUAGGACUUCGGUUCCUAUUUUGUUGGUUUCUAGGUCUGAAGUAAUGAUUGAUAGGGACAGUUGGGGGUGCUAGUAUUCAGAGGCCAGAGGUGAAAUUCAUGGAUUCUCUGAAGACUAACUUAUGCGAAAGCAUUCACCAAGGAUGUCUUCUUUAAUCAAGAACGAAAGUUUAGGGAGUGAAGACGAUUAGAUACCGU
rnacentral:rRNA from 1 species